rnacentral:lncRNA from 1 species
GUUGACCGCGCAUGACUGAGUGAGAAAUGCAGCUCCCACAAUCCCAAACCGCUUGGCGACGUCCAGGAACCAGGGCAUACUUGCAUCGUAAAUUAUACAGUGGACAGGGUGCCGUGAUUCGCUCUGUUUCCGGAUGAGAUCCGUGAGGGUUUCGGAACCCACUCUCCGAAAGGUUUGGGAAUAGUGUUCUGGGUCUUGCAAUAUAAGUCCGCUGUGGUCGAAGCCGUCGGAGAUAGUGUCGAUGUGGAUACCGGAUUGUGCGGUGACGGUCAUGGUGCUGUGGAUGAAACGGGUGAGAGCCAGAGUGACCCGGAUCCGUUU